GAUGAGUUUUAUUCUUGCUUAUUUAUUUGCUUUUAAAUUAUUUUAUAUGUAAGUUUUUUCGUGAUUUUUUUAUUUUAUCUAAAUGAUUAUUUAUUUUUUAAUUAUUCGCAGUAAUAAAUUUUAUAUAUUUAUGUGAGUUUGAUUUGGUAAUUUUGAUUUAUUGUUGGUAAAAUUUGUGCCAGCAUCCGCGGUUAUACAAUGAAUAUAAGUAAAUAUUUUUGGUUAAAGUAGUUAAAAUUUUUGUUUUGAGGUUAUUAUUUUGUUUUUGGGUGAAAUUUUAAUUUUUAUUAUAACUUUAUAUUUUUGAGGCUAUUAAAUCUUUAAUUUUAAACUAGGAUUAGAUACCCUAUUAUUUUAGAUAUAAAUUAUUUUAACCUGAGUAGUAUUAGUUAAGGUCUUGAAACUUAAAGAAUUUGGCGGUAUUUUAGUCUAUUUAGAGGAAUCUGUCCCUUAAUCGAUAAUCCACGUUUUACCUUACCAUAUUUAUUGUAUGUAUACCGCCGUUAUAAUGAAAAUCUUAUUAGGGUUAUUAAUUUUCUGGAUUUAUUUAAAAAAUUUAUUUCAGGUCAAGGUGCAGCUUAUAAUUUGGUGGAGAUGGAUUACAUUUAUAUUUAUUAUUGGAUUAAUAGAUGAAAUUUUGUUAUGAAAUUGGAUUUAAUUGUAAUUUUUUGAAGAUUGUAAAGUUGAUGUUAGCUCUAAAAUAUGUACACAUCGCCCGUCACUCUCAUUAUUAGUUAAUUGAGAUAAGUCGUAACAUAGUGGCUGUACCGGAAGGUGUAGCUGGGAUGAA
rnacentral:ncRNA from 1 species